rnacentral:rRNA from 1 species
UACGAAGGGGGCUAGCGUUGUUCGGAAUUACUGGGCGUAAAGGGCGCGUAGGCGGCGUGUCAAGUCAGGCGUGAAAGCCCCGGGCUCAACCUGGGAACCGCGCUUGAGACUGGCAUGCUCGAGUUCGGGAGAGGAUGGUGGAAUUCCCAGUGUAGAGGUGAAAUUCGUAGAUAUUCGGAAGAACACCAGUGGCGAAGGCGGCUCACUGGACUGGUAUUGACGCUGAGGUGCGAAAGCGUGGGGAGCAAACAGG